rnacentral:tRNA from 3 species
GGCCCCAUCGUCUAGUGGCCUAGGACACCGGUUUUUCAUGUCGGUAACAGGGGUUCGAAUCCCCUUGGGGUCA